rnacentral:rRNA from 1 species
AGAACGAACGCUGGCGGCAGGCUUAACACAUGCAAGUCGAACGGGUGUAGCAAUACAUCAGUGGCAGACGGGUGAGUAACACGUGGGAACCUUCCUAGGGGUACGGAACAACUCAGGGAAACUUGAGCUAAUACCGUAUACGUCCGUAAGGAGAAAGAUUCAUCGCCCCUAGACGGGCCCGCGUCGGAUUAGGUAGUUGGUGGGGUAACGGCCUACCAAGCCUACGAUCCGUAGCUGAUCUGAGAGGAUGAUCAGCCACACUGGGACUGAGACACGGCCCAGACUCCUACGGGAGGCAGCAGUGGGGAAUCUUGGACAAUGGGCGCAAGCCUGAUCCAGCCAUGCCGCGUGAGUGAAGAAGGCCUUAGGGUUGUAAAGCGUCUUUUACCAGGGACGAUAAUGACGGUACCUGGAGAAUAAAGCCCGGCAAACUUCGUGCCAGCAGCCGC